rnacentral:rRNA from 1 species
GGACCAGACUCCUACGGGAGGCAGCAGUGGGGGAUAUUGCACAAUGGGGGGAACCCUGAUGCAGCGACGCCGCGUGGGUGAAGGAGUGCUUCGGCAUGUAAAGCCCUAUCGGCAGGGAAGAAGCAAGACGGUACCUGACUAAGAAGCCCCGGCUAACUACGUGCCAGCAGCCGCGGUAAUACGUAGGUGGCAAGCGUUAUCCGGAUUUACUGGGUGUAAAGGGCGUGUAGGCGGGACUGCAAGUCAGAUGUGAAAAUUAUGGGCUCAACCCAUAACCUGCAUUUGAAACUGUAGUUCUUGAGUGAUGGAGAGGCAGGCGGAAUUCCGUGUGUAGCGGUGAAAUGCGUAGAUAUUAGGAGGAACACCAGUGGCGAAGGCGGCCUGCUGGACGAUGACUGACGUUGAGGCUCGAAAGCGUGGGGAGCAAACAGGAUUAGAUACCCGAGUAAU